rnacentral:rRNA from 1 species
UGGGGAAUAUUGCACAAUGGGCGCAAGCCUGAUGCAGCCAUGCCGCGUGUGUGAAGAAGGCCUUCGGGUUGUAAAGCACUUUCAGCGAGGAGGAAGGUGGUGAGCUUAAUACGCUCAUCAAUUGACGUUACUCGCAGAAGAAGCACCGGCUAACUCCGUGCCAGCAGCCGCGGUAAUACGGAGGGUGCAAGCGUUAAUCGGAAUUACUGGGCGUAAAGCGCACGCAGGCGGUUUGUUAAGUCAGAUGUGAAAUCCCCGGGCUCAACCUGGGAACUGCAUUUGAAACUGGCAAGCUAGAGUCUCGUAGAGGGGGGUAGAAUUCCAGGUGUAGCGGUGAAAUGCGUAGAGAUCUGGAGGAAUACCGGUGGCGAAGGCGGCCCCCUGGACGAAGACUGACGCUCAGGUGCGAAAGCGUGGGGCAGCAAACAGGAUUAGAUACCCUGGUAGUCCACGCUGUAAACGAUGUCGAUUUUGGAGGUUGUGCCCUUGAGGCGUGGCUUCCGGAGCUAACGUGUUAAAUCGACCGCCU